GACAGAGGUGCCAAGCGUUAGGCGGAAUCACUGGGCUUAAAGCGUGUGUAGGUGGAAGCGUAAGUACCUUGUGAAAUCUCACAGCUUAACUGUGAAACUGCAUUGGAUACUAUCCGGCUCGAGGAAUGGAGGGGAGACUGGAAUACUUGGUGUAGCAGUGAAAUGCGUAGAUAUCAAGUGGAACACCAGUGGCGAAGGCGAGUCUCUGGACAUUUCCUGACGCUGAGGCACGAAAGCCAGGGGAGCAAACGGG
rnacentral:rRNA from 1 species